CCUANGGGGGGCAGCAGUGGGGAAUUUUGGACAAUGGGGGCAACCCUGAUCCAGCCAUGCCGCGUGCGGGAAGAAGGCCUUCGGGUUGUAAACCGCUUUUAGUCGGGAAGAAAAGGUUAUCCCUAACAGGGAUGACUCUUGACGGUACCGGCGGAAUAAGCACCGGCUAACUACGUGCCAGCAGCCGCGGUAAUACGUAGGGUGCGAGCGUUAAUCGGAAUUACUGGGCGUAAAGCGUGCGCAGGCGGUUCGUUAAGUUCGUUGUGAAAGCCCCGGGCUCAACCUGGGAACGGCAAUGGAAACUGGCGGGCUUGAGUAUGGCAGAGGGGGGUGGAAUUCCGCGUGUAGCAGUGAAAUGCGUAGAGAUGCGGAGGAACACCGAUGGCGAAGGCAGCCCCCUGGGCUAAUACUGACGCUCAGGCACGAAAGCGUGGGGAGCAAACAGGAUUAGAUACCCCUNUANUC
rnacentral:rRNA from 1 species